rnacentral:rRNA from 1 species
UACGUAGGGACCAAGCGUUGUUCGGAUUUACUGGGCGUAAAGGGUCCGCAGGCGGCAAUGUGUGUCUGCUGUGAAAGAAUGAGGCUUAACCUCAUCAAGGCAGUGGAAACUACAUAGCUAGAGUACGGUCGGGGUAGAAGGAAUUCCUGGUGUAGCGGUGAAAUGCGUAGAGAUCAGGAAGAACACCGGUGGCGAAAGCGUUCUGCUAGGCCUGUACUGACACUGAGGGACGAAAGCUAGGGGAGCGAAUGGG